rnacentral:rRNA from 1 species
GCCUCUGACUAGACGUGGCGACCUGCUGAAUUUAAGCAUAUUAUUAAGCAGAAGAAAAUAAACUAACCAGGAUUCCCUCGAUAACGGCAAGUCAAGAUGGAAGAGCCCAGCGCCGAAUCCUCAUUCAGUGGCAGGCGUGGGAAAUGUGGCAUACAGAAGAUUGACUCCCCGGCUUCGCUCAGGGGGCUCAAGUCCUUCUGAUCGAGUCUCACCCGCGGACAGUGUUAGGCCGGUAGCAGCCUCUGGCACGCCGGGAUCGGUUGGUCCCGGAGUCGGGUUGCUUGGGAAUGCAGCCCAAAGCGGGUGGUAAACUCCAUCUGAGGCUAAAUACAGACGCAAAACUGAUGGCCAACAAGUACUGUAAGGGAAAGUUGAAAAGAACAUUGAAGAAGGGUUAGGGUGCGAAACCGUUGAAAGGUAAAUGGAUGGGGUCCGUGCAGUCCACCUGCAGGAUUCAACACGGCGGGCAGGUUGGUCACCUGGAACGGCAGAUACCCUUGCGGGACUGCUGCCCAGGCACACCCGGCCUCCACAGGGUGCAUGUCCUCUGUGGUGGUGCACCACGACUUGCUCUGGGUCAGCUGGGAAGACCCCAAGGGGCAGGUGGCUCUUCGCUCCGGCAGAGCGUGUUACAGCCCCCUGAUAGCAGUUUUACUGUGUCUGCGGGGCUGAGGGAGAUUGACCGCCACUGCGCCCUUCUCCUGCAGUCGUCCCAGCCCAUCUUGGGCUUCACCGGGGCUCCCGAUGUGACUGUUGAUUGUAUUGUACUGCCCUCAGUGCACCCCAAACACACUGCACCGCCGGGCGGGGAACCCAACAAAGGGCACCAGGGGUCUAAGGUAAUGUCGGUUACCAACCCGACCCGUCUUGAAACACAGACCAAGGAGUCAAACACGUGCGCGAGUGGGUGGGCCAAAUGAAAUCCUGUGGCUCAAUGAAGGUGAAGGCCGGUGCGCACCGACUGGGGUUGGAUCCCGUCACUGUGGGCGCACCAACGGCCCAUCUCGCCCACUCUGUCAGGAAGGUGGAGCAUGAGCGUGUGUGAUAGGACCCGAAAGAUGGGGCCUGGGCAGGGCGAAGCCAGAGGAAACUCUGGCGGAGGUCCAUAGCGGUCCUGAUGUGCACAUCGGUCAUCUGACCUGGGUAUAGGGGUAAAAGAUUAAUCGAACCAUCUAGUAGCUGGUUCCCUCCGAAGUUUCCCUCAGGAUAGCUGGUGCAUGGAAUCCCCAGUUUUAUCUGGUAAAGUGAAUGAUUAGAGGUCUUGGGGCCCAAAUGAUCUUAAUCUGUUCUCAAACUUUAAAUGGGUAAGAAACCAGGCUCGCUGGCGUGGAGACGGGCAUCUAAUGCAAGUGCCCAAUGGGCCACUUUUGGUAAGCAGAACCGACGCUGUGAGAUGAACCGAACGCUGGGUUAAGGUGCUGAUGCCGAUGGUCCUCAGACCCCAGAAAAGGUGUUGGUUGAUACAGACAGCAGGACGGUGGCCAUGGAAGUCUAAAUCCGCUAAGGAGUGUGUAACAACUCACAUGCCGAAUCAACUGGCGCUGAAAAAGAAUAGUGCUGGAAUGCCUGGCCCAUCACUGGCGCUGAGAGCCCCGGGGCCUGAGCAUUGAGUAGGAGGGCCGCUGCGGUACGCAUGGAAGGCCGGGACGAGGGCCUGGGUGGAGCUGCCACAGGCGCAGAUCUUGGUGGUAGUAGCAAAUAUUCUAACAAAACCUUUGAAGGCCGAAGUGGAGAAGGGUUCCAUGUGAACAGCAGUUGAACAUGCGUCAGUCGGUCCUAAAAUGGUCGAGAGCCGUACAGAAGGGAAGGACGAUGGCCUCCGUUGCUCUCAGCCGAUCGAGAGGGUGCUGGGUUCAUAUCACCAAACACGAGUGGGAAGACGGGCACCCUCACGGCAUCCAGUUCGUUAACGCAAAUGAUCCCAGAGAAGCUGGCGGGAUCCCUGGGGAGAGUUCUGUUUUCUUUGUGAAGGGCAGGGCACCCUGAAAUGUGUUCGCCCGGAGAGAGGGACCCGAGCCUUGGAAAGCAUUGCGGUUCGGGGCGUCCGGUGAGCUCUUGCUGGUCCUUGAAAAUCUGGAGGAGAUGGUGUAAAUCUCGCGCCGGGCCUUACCCAUAUCUGCAGCAGUUCUUCAAGGUUGACAGCAUCUGGCAUGUUGGAACAAUGUAGGUAGGGAAGUCGGCAAGCAUGAUCCAUAACUUUGGGAAGGGCUGGGUCGGUCGGGCUGGGAUGCAAAUGGCGAGACCGACUCUGGAUGUGAGCCGGGCCCUUCCUCUGGAUUGCCCCAACUGCGGUGGUCGCCUCUCUCCGUUCCCCUCCUGGGGUUCGGGGCUGGUGUUCUGCCUCGGCAGACGCCUAGCAGCUGAUUUAGAACUGGUGCAGACCAGGGGCAUCCGACUGUUAAAACAAAGCAUUGUGCAAGUCCCAUGGUGGGUGUUGACACAAUGUGAUUUCGGCCUAGUGCUCUGAAUAUCAAAGUGAAGAAAUUCAAUGAAGUGUGGGUUAACGGCGAGAGUAACGUGGGACUAUUGCUUCUGGCUCAAAUCGCUGGGCGUAACCCGUUCUGGGGACAGUGGCAAACCAUAAUGCAGGUGUCCUAAGGCAAGCUCAGGGAGGACAGAAACCUCCCACAGAGCAGAAGGGCAAAAGCUUGCUUGAUCUCGAUUUUCAGUAUGAAUACAGACCGUGAAAACAGGGCCUCAGUAUCCUUCUGACUUUGGCUUUCAAGCAGGAGGUGUCAGAAAAGUUACCACAGGGAUAACUGGCUUGUGGUGGCCAAGCGUUCAUAGCAAUGUUGCUCUUUGAUCCUUUGAUGUCGGCUCUUCCUAUCAUUGUGAAGCAGAAUUCACCAAGCGUUGGAUUGUGCACCCACUAAUAGGGAACAUGAACUGGGUUUAGACUGUUGUGAGACAGGUUCAUUUUACCCUACUGAUGUGUUGUUGCAAUAGUAAUCCUGUUCAGUAUGAUAGUAACCGCAUGUUCAGACAAUGGGUGUAUGUGCUCGACUGAGGAGCCAAUGGGGCGAAGCUACCAUCUGUGGGAUUAUGACUGAACGCCUCUAAAUCAGAAUCCCCCCUAAUGGUACUGCACCGCUGUGGUUCCUCGGUGGGCCUAGGAUAGCUGACCCCUGGGCCGGUACGUAGAGGCGCUCGCCUCGGACUCAAGUGUGAACAUAAGGGGGACACCUCUUUCACCCGUAGUGCACUGCAUGUCAGAUAAUUGAGUUUCAAGCGCUACGUGCAGAACAGUCUUCUAUUAUCUUCU